GACGAACGCUGGCGGCGUGCCUAAUACAUGCAAGUAGAACGCUGAAGAGAGGAGCUUGCUCUUCUUGGAUGAGUUGCGAACGGGUGAGUAACGCGUAGGUAACCUGCCUUUUAGCGGGGGAUAACUAUUGGAAACGAUAGCUAAUACCGCAUAACAAUGGAUGACACAUGCCAUUUAUUUGAAAGGGGCAAUUGCCCCACUACAAGAUGUACCUGCGUUGUAUUAGCUAGUAGGUGAGGUAAUGGCUCACCUAGGCGACGAUACAUAGCCGACCUGAGAGGGUGAUCGGCCACACUGGGACUGAGACACGGCCCAGACGCCUACGGGAGGCAGCAGUAGGGAAUCUUCGGCAAUGGGGGCAACCCUGACCGAGCAACGCCGCGUGAGUGAAGAAGGUUUUCGGAUCGUAAAGUUCUGUUGUAAGUCAAGAACGGGUGUGAGAGUGGAAAGUUCACACUGUGACGGUAGCUUACCAGAAAGGGACGGCUAACUACGUG
rnacentral:rRNA from 1 species